rfam:Vibrio aerogenes CECT 7868 genome assembly, contig: 0055
UAAUUGAAGAGUUUGAUCAUGGCUCAGAUUGAACGCUGGCGGCAGGCUUAACACAUGCAAGUCGGGCGGAAACGAAAGAAAGCUUG